CAUGCAAGUCGAGGGGCAGCAGGAAUAGCAAUAUUUGCUGGCGACCGGCGCACGGGUGCGUAACACGUAUACAAUCUGCCUUUAACAGGGGGAUAGCCCGGAGAAAUCCGGAUUAAUACCCCAUAACAGUGAUCUUGGCAUCAAGGACACUUAAAAGCUCCGGCGGUUAAAGAUGAGUAUGCGUCUGAUUAGCUAGUUGGUGAGGUAACGGCUCACCAAGGCGACGAUCAGUAGGGGAUCUGAGAGGAUUAACCCCCACACGGAUACUGAGACACGGAUCCGACUCCUACGGGAGGCAGCAGUAAGGAAUAUUGGACAAUGCCCGCAAGGGUGAUCCAGCCAUGCCGCGUGCAGGAAGACGGCCCUAUGGGUUGUAAACUGCUUUUACACCGGAGAAAACCUCCCCUCGUGAGGGGAGCUGAUAGUAUGGUGAGAAUAAGCAUCGGCUAACUUCGUGCCAGCAGCCGCGGUAAGACGAAGGAUGCAAGCGUUAUCCGGAUUCAUUGGGUUUAAAGGGAGCGUAGGUGGACUGAUAAGUCAGUGGUGAAAUCUUCGAGCUUAACUCGGAAAUUGCCAUUGAUACUGUUGGUCUUGAGUACAGUUGCUGUGGGCGGAAUAUGACAUGUAGUGGUGAAAUACAUAGAGAUGUCAUAGAACACCGAUUGCGAAGGCAGCUCACAAAGCUGUAACUGACACUGAGGCUCGAAAGUGCGGGGAUCAAACAGGAUUAGAUACCCUGGUAGUCCGCACCGUAAACGAUGAUUACUCGCUGCUAGAUGGCAACAUUUGGUGGCUUAGCGAAAGCGAUAAGUAAUCCACCUG
rnacentral:rRNA from 1 species